ACAGUCACAGCACGUGAAUUACUUUAAGCACCUUUAAGAGCUUUUGCAAAAGUGCUGAAAAGUUUAAUCUCAUAUUUUUGUCAUUUUAAAGGCAAUUUCUAAGGACUUUUUGAUAUUUUACUUUAAACACAAAAGACUUUUGGAUAGACGCUCGGAGGCAUUUGGCGCGAAAAAACAAACCGUUAAUCUGAGCGGAGCAGCGCGCGACACCUUACCUCAUAUCUCAUAUCAAUCUUUUUAUUUACGAAGUUUUACAAAGAACAUCCAAGACUGAUGUUAUAACAUUUAUGGAUGCUCUCCAGGUUAGAGGUCGUUUAAAAACAACAAGUCUAAGGUGCUAACGUUGAAAUAUCGAGGUUGACGUUACGUGGAAAAUGUCGGCGGAUGAAAGUCGAUGUUAAUCAUGUUUAUGAUUCUACUGCCACCUGGUGUCCUGACAGAGAAAUACACGUGACCACUGAACCUUAUUUACAGCAUCUGUUAAUAAAACACACAUUGCCUAUUAUAGAAGAGCUGUUGAAUGAUCAUAAUAAACAUUGUGUGUGUGUGUGUGUGUGUGUGUUUGUGUGUGUGUCAUUGAGUUUGUUGAAGACUCAUGGUUGUGACUCUCAGUCACAUUCUCAUCUGACAGAAAAACGAGUGUUAUUGUAGAGAGCAGACUCAUCGCUGUCAACAUGUUGAGUAGGAUGUUAACCGUCUGUGAUGUCUGCAGACUCACUCACACAUACAGACUGAUAUUGGAGGAUUUGCGUCGUUGUUUGUCCAAUAUUGGGUUGUAGUAGGAAAGUGAGGAAGAGACCUGCGCUGUUUCUCUAGACAUAAUGAUUCCUGUGGCAUGUAAAGACAGCAUAAUAAAAAUAAUUGUAAUAUCA